ACGAACGCUGGCGGCGUGCUUAAUACAUGCAAGUCGAACGCUGUGUCUGUCACCGGAGCUUGCUCCACCGAAAGAAAAAGAGUGGCGAACGGGUGAGUAACACGUGGGUAACCUGCCCAUCAGAAGGGGAUAACACUUGGAAACAGGUGCUAAUACCGUAUAACACUAUUUUCCGCAUGGAAGAAAGUUGAAAGGCGCUUUUGCGUCACUGAUGGAUGGACCCGCGGUGCAUUAGCUAGUUGGUGAGGUAACGGCUCACCAAGGCAACGAUGCAUAGCCGACCUGAGAGGGUGAUCGGCCACACUGGGACUGAGACACGGCCCAGACUCCUACGGGAGGCAGCAGUAGGGAAUCUUCGGCAAUGGACGAAAGUCUGACCGAGCAACGCCGCGUGAGUGAAGAAGGUUUUCGGAUCGUAAAACUCUGUUGUUAGAGAAGAACAAGGAUGAGAGUAAAAUGUUCAUCCCUUGACGGUAUCUAACCAGAAAGCCACGGCUAACUACGUGCCAGCAGCCGCGGUAAUACGUAGGUGGCAAGCGUUGUCCGGAUUUAUUGGGCGUAAAGCGAGCGCAGGCGGUUUCUUAAGUCUGAUGUGAAAGCCCCCGGCUCAACCGGGGAGGGUCAUUGGAAACUGGGAGACUUGAGUGCAGAAGAGGAGAGUGGAAUUCCAUGUGUAGCGGUGAAAUGCGUAGAUAUAUGGAGGAACACCAGUGGCGAAGGCGG
rnacentral:rRNA from 1 species